CUCUGUAAAACACACUUUGUUUCUGAGAUGCUUCUUGCAUUUGGAGCGAUCAAGGAUCAUUUUUUUACAGUGUUAGUGGUGGUUUGAGAUCAUGCAGUUAGUUCACAUUGUGCUUUGAAAAAAAGUGAGAAAAACAGUGCAUUUGCAUCACAAUCUUCGGCAUUGUCGUCCGUAAGCAACCUGUCAAAAUAUUCUCCACAGCUGAGGAGAUGCACAUCACUGCUGCAAACAGAGCAACAGGCGUAUAUGGUGCAAAAACCAAAGCAAAGUUGAAUCCCACAGAAUUUGCAUGAAUAAGUUAGAUGCAGGAGUAUUGUCUGUGGAGCUUCUACUGGUUAUUUUUGAAUGGAGCUUGGAAGAAAUCACAGACUGGCAAUACCUAGUUUUUGAUAGGUUUUGUAACUAUUUUUGUAAGAAGAAAACUUAGUGGUUGCUAUAGUUUUUGUAAUUAUUUUUGUAGGAAGAAAUAGUGGUUAUAGUUUUUGUAAUUAUUUUUGUGAGAAGAAAUAUUGGUUGUUAUGGUUUUUGUAAUUAUUUUUUUGGGAAGAAAUAUUGGUUGUUAUGGUUUUUGUAAUUACUUUUGGGGGAAGAAAUAUUGGUGAUUAUAGUUUUUGUAAUUAUUUUUGCAAGUUGAAAUCUGGCAAGUAAUAUACGGUUUGAGUAGGAUGAUUUCCAGUGGUGACUUUAGUAUAA